AACGGAGGGGGCGAGUGUUACUCAUCAUAACUGGGCGUAAAGGGCAAGUAGGCGGUUUAUUAUGUUUAAAUAAAAAGUCUAAAGAACAACUUUAUAUAAUUAUUUUUUAUACUGAUAAACUAGAGUAUAAUAGAAGUGUGUUGCACUUCCAGUGGAGAGGUAAAAAUACGUAAAAUAUUGUAAAAGACAUUCAAUAGGUGAAAAACGACUAACUAUAUU
rnacentral:rRNA from 1 species